GACGAACGCUGGCGGCGUGCUUAACACAUGCAAGUCGAACGGAAAGGCCCUGCUUUUGUGGGGUGCUCGAGUGGCGAACGGGUGAGUAACACGUGAGUAACCUGCCCUUGACUUUGGGAUAACUUCAGGAAACUGGGGCUAAUACCGGAUAGGAGCUCCUGCUGCAUGGUGGGGGUUGGAAAGUUUCGGCGGUUGGGGAUGGACUCGCGGCUUAUCAGCUUGUUGGUGGGGUAGUGGCUUACCAAGGCUUUGACGGGUAGCCGGCCUGAGAGGGUAACCGGCCACAUUGGGACUGAGAUACGGCCCAGACUCCUACGGGAGGCAGCAGUGGGGAAUAUUGCACAAUGGGCGGAAGCCUGAUGCAGCAACGCCGCGUGCGGGAUGACGGCCUUCGGGUUGUAAACCGCGUUCGCCUGUGACGAAGCGUGAGUGACGGUAAUGGGUAAAGAAGCACCGGCUAACUACGUG
rnacentral:rRNA from 1 species